CAAAUUGUAUCAAAAAAACUGCGAAAAUAUUUUAUAUAUUGUACAAGUAUAACCAAUUUAUUGCACACAAUGUUUAACAAAAUCUCAUAUGGAC